GGCAGCCCCAGCCACGUCUCCCUGCUGCGCUGGGAUGAUAGCAGUCUGGCUGGAGCGGCUGCCACUAUUGCUUGUACUCUUCUUCAGCAGAUAAUUACCAGAAAACAUAAAAUAAAAACCAGUGCCCACUUUCUCAUGGUUAUGACAAAAGGUUUCACCACGUGGAGGUUAAAAAGCUCUGUUAAAAUACGGACUGCGAAUCUUGGUAGCAAAAAAAUCCCCACAAAAGUAACAUUGCUACGUGUGGGUUUUUAUGUCAGUUGAUGAUUCUCUUAUCUCUUUCAUUGGAACAUGAAAAUGACUGUUUUGGAUAUAUAAGACAUUUUCAGUAAAGUAAAAAAAUGAACUAAAAGUAUAACUUUUCCAAACCUAUAACUUUAUUGAAUAUAUUUGAUUUGUGGUGUGCAGAUAGAAAUAAUUGUGUAUUUUGUAGUAGCCAGUUAACCACUAAUAAUAAAAAAGAAAGCUAGAGCAUCAGAAAAAGUUUCCACCUUGACAGGAAAAACAAGACUUGGGUCAUUAGACUCUAAUAGCUUUUAAUGUCUUGGGACAUCAAAACAAUUACCACUUGGAGAAAAUGAUUUAGCUAGCUGUGAAAGCUACUCAGGAGUAGCUAAAUACUUACAAAUGUUUCACAGAUUUGGUCUGUGAGCUUUAUGACCAUCUCUGGACAGAUGAUCAGCCUUGGUAUUGGAAUUGCUCUGCGCGGUAUGGAGCCUGUCCUAGAAAAGCAGGGUACAUCUAAAUUUCAGCUGCAGUAGCAAGUUUUGAGAAGAACUAGAACUUACCCCUUGGAGAGAGUGAGAACAGUGCUUUCCGUCCUCCUUGUUCAAUCUAAGCACUCCCGCAGUCUCCAAAUGGAUGUUUUAGGGAAUCUGACAAACUUGAGGUUGCCAUCCUUUGAAUCCAGGCCACAUCAAGUGUCAUGGUGCUAUGAUUGUCCCAAUUACAGACACAACUAAUAUCCAGCAACAACCAUCAGACACGUGAGUAAAAGGAUCUCCAGAUCAUACCAUCAUGUGAACCUCAAUUGUUGAGUCUCCCUCACUGAUCAAGUAUUUAAAGCUGAAUUCCUACAUACAAUGGAACAGAGAGAGCCAUUCUUGCUAGGCUUUGCCCAAAUUCCUGAUCUACAGAACUGAUACUAUAUGAACAUAAUAGCAAAAAGUAAUUUUUCAUGAUGAAAUGUGUAGUGGUUUGUUAUGUAGUAAUA